UUAAAAUUUCUGGAUCUCUGAACGCUGAGGGAGAACGGAGGUGUGCUAUUCAUCAAAGGUAAGAACUUUUUAAUCAUGUUUUACUACAACAAAAGUCCAUUUUACACUGAAGUUCUUAUUCCCUGAGUUUAUUGGCUGGUUGAAAAGCAAAGAAAAAAUCUGAUCAAUUUUCUGACUUCUAUAAACUCUCUAAAACUGUUUUUUCCUAUAAUCCAGUUUCCCCAGUGACUGUGCUGACUGGAUUACUGUCUAUUCUGAUGUUCUGCAGUAAUCAGAUUAUGAAGUCCAUGUAAACACACUCAUUUUUUUCUGAUUUAUUUUUGUUUUGUCUUCUUGUUGUGCUGGACACAGCUUCCAUUAAUAACAGUUAUGUUGGAUUAUUUACUGUCUGUUUUUCUCUUGUGUUUUUGAAUGAAUGACUGUUUACAUUGUGUGCUGUUUGUUUGUUUCUCUUUAUAUCCCCUAUUUUAAUUGUAAGGCUGUGUAUAUAUAGGUACUACAGGUACUAUAUGUAUAGGUAUCUAAAAAAUUAGAAUAUCACUGAAAAGUUGCGUUUUUUCAUUAAUUCAGUUCAAAAUGUGAAACUCAUAUAUUUAAGCAAUAUUAUUCGCAAUAACACACGACCUCGAGUGUUCUAUUGCUUUUAUACAACAGUUUCUUUUUUUACUAAAAAAUUAAAGAAAAUAAAUCAAAGAACUUCAAUUCAAAGAAAUUCAGUUUGAAUAUGCUUUAAUAUGGACUGAGCCUUCCGCCAAAAAGUAGUUCCACAACAACUUAACUACAUACAGUGUAUGGUUUAGGCAGAUUAACACCACGAAAGUUAGCUUGAAAGCAAAAUUGGGAAUAGUGAAAAUGGAACGUUAGGAGCGUGAAAUAACGCUAAUACUCUCCUCUCCUGCUCCGUGGAGUCGUCUUCAGGUGAAAGCCGCGAAUUUUAUCAUUUCUGCUUAUUUUCCUGGGUGGUGUUAGUGGUUUUAGCUAGCUGGCUGGACUGUGGUUAGGUUAGCGUAGCUUGCUUUAGCUCAGCAUUAACUUAGCCUAGCCUGGCUGGUUAGCAUUCUGGCUGUCAGACGGUACUAACCGAGCGAUUUUCGUUCCCUUUUUUCCACGAAAGACGAGCCAGCGCUGCGGGCGAGCGUGCCGCGGCUGAGCACUAGCCUGUGCUAAGCUAACGCUGCUGCAGUUGUCCUGUGUAUAUACGCCGUUACUCGGUAACGCGUCGGCGGAGAGAUACAAGUUUAGUGUGAGAUGGCCGUGAUGUUAUCACGAAAUAUCAUCACAGCUAGAUCACUUCUCAACCAAUCAGAUUGUGAGGUCGGAACUAAUUGUUGUAUAAAUAUAUAAAUAUAAUGUAUUACACACAGAGUGAUCUAUUUUAAGAGUUUAUUUCUUUUACUGUUGAUGAUUAUAAAUCACAGCCAAUAAAAACCCCAAAAUCAGUGUCUCAGAAAAUUAGAAUAUUAUAUAAGACCAAUUGGUACUUUUGCCAAGUCCUGCUGGAAAAUAAAAUCCGCUUCUCCAUGAAAGUUGUCAGUAGCAGAGGGAAGCAUGAAGUGCUGUAAGAUUUUGUGGGAAAACAAAACUGCACUGACUUUAGACUUGAUAAUAAAACACAGUGGAUCAACACCAGCAGAUGACACAUCUCUCCAAACCAUCACUGAUUGGUGGAAACUUCACACUAGACCUCGAGCAGUUUGGACUGUGUGUCUCUCCACUCUUCCUCCAGACUCUGCUCCCUUAAUUUACAAAUGAAAUGUAAAAUUUACUGAUGAUCAGUGAUGGUUUGGAGAGACAUGUCAUCUGCUGGUGUUGAUCCACUGUGUUUUAUUAUCAAGUCUAAAGUGCAGUGCUUUCCCAAGAAAUCUAAGCUAACUUCUUUGUUAUAUCAUUAAUAGAAAUACAUGUUUUUUAAAUGCUGUACAUUAGCCCAAAGCUGUUAUUGUGAUUGUGAAUACACAAUAACAUAUAGACAGCUCUGGAAACAAAAUAAGAGAGCACUUAAAAACGAUGAGUUUCUUUGAUUUUACCAAAUUGAAAACCUCUGGAAUAUAAUCAAGAGGAAGAUGGAUGAUCACAAGCCAUCAAAACAAACUGAACUGCUUAAAUUAUUGCACCAGGAGUAAAGCAGCAUAAAGUUAUCCAAAAGCAGUGUGUAAGACUGGUGGAGGAGAACAUGAUGCCAAGAUGCAUGAAAACUGUGAUUAAAAAACAGGGUUAUUCCACCAAAUACUGACUUCUGAACUCUUAAAACUUUAUGAAUAUGAACUUGUUUUCUUUACAUUAUUUGAGGUCUGAAAGCUCUGCAUCUUUUUUGUUAUUUCAGCCAUUUCUCAUUUUUUCUCAAAAAAUCCUCUUAAUGACAAUAUUUCAUUUAGAAUUUGGGAGAAAUGUUGUCUGUAGUUUAUAGAAUAAAACAACAAUGUUUAUUUUACUCAAACAUAAACCUAUAAAUAGCAAAAUCAGAGAAACUCUUUAUCUUAUUUUUUUCCAGAGCUGUAUAAACCUGUGUACUGAUUAAUGCACAACUUCAAUUGUGCAUCUUUGCUUCUCUAUGCUUUUCAUCACAGGUGACCACGUCAGGAGUCUUAGCAGAAACUAACAAGCAAAUACAUCAUUAACUUCUUAUAUCAACACCAGUGAAGCAUAUUAACAAAAUACUCAGUGUUUUUUUCUAGUUCUCUUUUUUUUUUUUUUGCAAACGACAACAAAACAAAUGUGUUGCUGCUGGAUCUGUGUUUAGUCUACGCAGCAUUGUGGGGUGGGGGAGGUGUGGCCUGCCAGGAAAAAAAUAGAUAAAAUUUGCAGUUUACUGCAGUUUUUACAGUUGCUUUCACAGCCUCUCAGCCUCACACUUUAGCACAAUUCUACACAGUGUUUAACAAAACACUAAACACAUUUCUCUAACAUGACGGCGCAUCUUUACUGUUUUAAGGCACCACCUUCCAAAAUACCGCACAUGUGAUCCAGCUGUAGGUGCUUUAAUUAUGAACCCACCAAUCAGACAUAAGCGCAGGGUUUGUAUGUUCAUGAAAAAACUGAAAAAGUAAUGGAAUUUAAAAAUAGCAAUUUCCAGACCUGGAUAAGUUUUGGAAAAAUAGAAAUACCCAGAAAGUUUAGGAAAAGUCAUGGAAAUUCAGUCUACAAUCCUUUGUGUUUCAGUUUAUCGAUGGAGAAAAUCUAUUUUGAACUAACAAAUACGUCAGCUCAGAGUUAAUUUAGUAAUUUAGCCUUACACACAAUGGAGCUCUCAGGAUCUGAAAUACAUUUUAUUAUUAAAGAUUGUCUGUCAACAUUUUAUCUGAUUUAUUUUAGGCAUACUAUAAUAAUUUUGAUUGUAGACUGUAACAAUUUAUUUUCAGUCGAAGUGCUUUUCUCUUUUCGUUUUUUAUUUCCAAAACUGCAGGGUUUGAGAGAGAGAAAGAUUGAGAAUAAGCAUCUGUCAAAUUCCCAAACAACAAGAAUGCCUAUAUCUGCUAUAUUAAGCUACAAUUAUUAAAUCUGUGUACUAAAAACAUGAAUACAAAAAAUCCAUAUAAAUGUCAGAAAUAAAUAUAACUAAUAAUAACUUAUAGUUACUGUGCAGAUUUUUAAGUAUAUUUUAUUUUAUAGCUGAUUGCUGAAGGCUCUGGGUGAGGUGCUUUUUUGCUGUGGUAAAGAAGUAAUAGUAUGUAGUAUUUUGCUUGGGGUGAGCAGUGAUGAUCAGACAUGAUUGCGUGGCUGAGGGUUUUAUUCAGUCAGUGGUGCACCUGUGUUUCACGCCGCCAAGAUACAGUAGAAACACGCCAGAAAUUUACCUGAACACCUUUCAGCAGACCACCACGCCCAUCAGCCUUAAUAUAUUCCUAAACUCCAAUGCUGUUUUAAUGAUGUGUGCACAAAGCGUGAAAAUAUGUGUGACCACACUUCCACCACCCUCUCUCUACUCAGCCCUGGAUUCUCACAAUACUGUGUAAAAACAGCUCCAACACCAUCAUCAAAUUUGUUGCGUUAUCAUCAAAAAUGUUGAGCAUUUAAGCGUAUUUUGUUUUUUGAGUUCUGACUCACGAUCUGUAGUUACAUAAACAUUACUGAACAUACUGAACAUUACUAUAAUAGUCCUGACUGUGAAUUAAGAUCCUUAUAAUACUGUCUGUGGCUCUUAUAUAUUUUUAUAACAUACUAACACUACCAGUCAAAAGUUUGGACACCCCUUUUCAUUCAGUGUUUUUAUUUUUUUCCUACAUUUUAAAUUAAAACUGAAGUCAACCAGAUUAUAAAGGAACACAUAAGUGUGAAUGAAUGAAGUUCAACUUAUAGAGCGCCUUUCUAGAAACCCAAGGGCGCUUUACAAUGUACACAUUUUACACACAAGCACAUUAUUACACAUCAACACUCAUCCACACACCGGUGAGAAACGGCAGCCAAUAGCGCACAGCGUACUCUCAACUGGAAACGACCGUCCACCUGGAGGACUACAUAGGGCACUACAGCCUUUACCCAGGACAGAGUGCCAAUCCAUAUCUGGGCACAGUCAUACACACAUUUACACCUCUCCUGUUCCUCCACCCUUUCUAUCCUCCCACCAGAGAGAGAGAGAGAGAGAGAGAGACAGGGCAGAGGAUCUGAUUAUCUCCUAAAAGCCUAAUCUGGAUCUGUAGGCAGGGACAGCAGACAAUUUGAAGAUGGAAAUUGGAUUUUUGAAAGGGUUGCUUUACGCGUUACAUGGCGUCCUCUUUUUGAAUGGAUUUGGUCUGAUGACGGUGGGGACCUGGGUGAAGGCCGACAGCGACACCGUCGUAAAUUUCUUACAGCAUCUGAACAGUGCGCCGGGCGAGCUGAAGAAGGCUCUGAACGUGGGCUACCCUAUGAUCAUUCUGGGCUCGCGUCAGAUGAUAAUGAGCAUUUGGGGCUGCUGGGCUUCCAGAAAGUAUUGGAUAAUAAAAAUUUCUA